rnacentral:rRNA from 1 species
AACGAACGCUGGCGGCAGGCCUAACACAUGCAAGUCGAGCGAGGUAGCAAUACCUAGCGGCGGACGGGUGAGUAACGCGUGGGAACGUACCCUUUGCUACGGAAUAGCCCCGGGAAACUGGGAGUAAUACCGUAUGUGCCCUUCGGGGGAAAGAUUUAUCGGCAAAGGAUCGGCCCGCGUUGGAUUAGGUAGUUGGUGGGGUAAUGGCCUACCAAGCCGACGAUCCAUAGCUGGUUUGAGAGGAUGAUCAGCCACACUGGGACUGAGACACGGCCCAGACUCCUACGGGAGGCAGCAGUGGGGAAUCUUAGACAAUGGGCGCAAGCCUGAUCUAGCCAUGCCGCGUGAGUGAUGAAGGGCCUUAGGGUUGUAAAGCUCUUUCAGAUGGGAAGAUAAUGACGGUACCAUCAGAAGAAGCCCCGGCUAACUCCGUG